GGCUAAGUAUUGUAUCCUUGUAAGAAGAUACAAAGACAAACACUCAUACGGACUUCGGCUACACCAUCAAAGCUUUGAGAAGCAAGAAGAAGUUUGGUUAGUGUUUUGGAGUCGAAUAUGACUUGAUGUGAUGUGCAUGAUUGAGUAUAAGAACUUAAACCGCAACCGGAUCUUAAAAGCCUAAGUAGUGUUUCCUUGUUAGAAGAUACAAUGCCAAAGCCUCAUACGGACUUUAGUUACACCAUCAAAGCCUUGAGAAUCAAGAAGAAGCUUGGUUAGUGUUUUGGAGUCAAAUAUUAUUAGA
rnacentral:sRNA from 1 species